rnacentral:rRNA from 1 species
CCCUUAGAUGUUCUGGGCUGCACGCGCGCUACACUGAUGCACUCAACGAGUUUACGACCUUGCCCGAUAGGGUUGGGUAAUCUUUUUAAAAUGCAUCGUGAUGGGGAUAGAUUAUUGCAAUUAUUAAUCUUCAACGAGGAAUUCCUAGUAAGCGCGAGUCAUCAGCUUGCAUUGAUUACGUCCCUGCCCUUUGUACACACCGCCCGUCGCUCCUACCGAUUGAAUGUUCCGAUGAAUACCAUGGACUGAGAGUAUGAAUGGGUUCGCCUAUUUCUGCUUCUCGGGAAGUGGAGUAAAUCUUAACAUUUAGAGGAAGGAGAAGUCGUAACA